AUUGCUGUGUGGCCUGUCAUUCUAAAAUUAAAAGAAACUAGACUUAUCUAACACAAGCAGUUUCCUGGUAGUUCAUGCUUUUCUGGGUGCCUUCAAACUAAGUGGAAACAUAUCUGAGAAUUGUCAUGCUCUGGAGGGUGGGUUGGUGGGGACACUAAAAAUGAAGGACAGCUGCUAGAGGCAAGGCCUCUUGGGCAGCUUUUGUCAUGUUCCAGGCACCAAUGAAUCAGGUCCAAUAUCUAGAUGUUUUCAGUGGGAUGAGAGACUAUGAGUCUCUAGAUCAAGAACUGGCAAACUAUAGCCCAUGAGCCAAAUCCAGCCACCUGAUCUCCUACAACCUGAGAGGAAAGCCUGGAAAAUCUAUUUUGGGCCUGGAUUUUCCCAGAUGCAGUACCACGCAAGGGCACUCCCUUUGUCACCAGACUAAUGACUACACUAAAAGCCUGAGGCUUAACAUUGCGAACACUUUUGAUGAUCCUCUUGGAACAGGAAUCCUCUGCAUCUCGGAAGCAACUUGCCCUCUGGCCACGCUGCCACCCUGUCACCAUGCUACUCUGACCCACUGAGAGAUGUACAGGCUAGCUCCUAUUCAGGAAAGGAAAACCCAGCUUUCCAGGAGACCUUGGGCUACUGCACCUAAUUCGUGCCCCAACCACAGCCAGAAAGGUAAAAGUAUGGGGUCCGCCUUCUA